ACUCCUACGGGAGGCAGCAGUGGGGAAUCUUCGGCAAUGGGGGCAACCCUGACCGAGCCAUGCCGCGUGAGUGAAGAAGGUUUUCGGAUUGUAAAACUCUUUCGUCGGGGACGAUAAUGACGGUACCCGAAGAAGAAGCCCCGCUAACUUCUGUUGCCAGCAGCCGCGGUAAUACGAAGGGGCUAGCGUUGUUCGGAAUUACUGGGCGUAAAGCGCGCGUAGGCGGAUUGGAAAGUUGGGGGUGAAAAUCCCGGGGCUCAAACCCCGGAACUGCCUCCAAAACAUCCCAGUCUUGCAGGUGUGAGAGAGGCGAGUGGAAUUUCCGAGUGUAGAGGUGAAAUUCGUAGAUAUUCGGGAGGAACACCAGUGGCGAAGCGGCUCAGCUGGCUCACAACUGACG
rnacentral:rRNA from 1 species